CAGCAGUCGCCACGGGAAAACGAGGGGUGCAGGCGUUAUUCGGAUUGAUUGGGUGUAAAGGGUGUGCAGACGGCUUAUUAAGUCACUUGUUAAAUUCUUCGGCCUAACUGAAGGUCUGCAAGUGAUACUGAUGAGCUAGAGGGUGGAAGAGAGAAGUGGAAUUCUCGGAGUAGCGGUAAAAUGCGUAGAUCUCGAGAGGAACACCAAUGGCGAAGGCAGCUUCUUGGUCCACUCCUGACGUUCAUACACGAAAGCGUGGGGAGCAAACAGGAUUAGAUACCCCCGUAGUCCCUGUCUCUUAUAC
rnacentral:rRNA from 1 species